rnacentral:rRNA from 1 species
UACGUAGGGAGCAAGCGUUGUCCGGAAUCAUUGGGCGUAAAGCGCGCGUAGGUGGCCCGGUAAGUCCGCUCUGAAAGUCACAGGCUCAACCUGUGAAAGCGGGUGGAUACUGCCGGGCUAGAGUCCGGAAGAGGCGAGUGGAAUUCCUGGUGGUAGCGGUGGAAUGCGCAGAUAUCAGGAGGAACACCAACGGCGAAGGCAGCUCGCUGGGACGGUACUGACACUGAGGCGCGAAAGCGUGGGGAGCAAACAGG